rnacentral:rRNA from 1 species
CAGCCGCCGCGGGAAUACGUAGGGUGCGAGCGUUAAUCGGAAUUACUGGGCGUAAAGCGUGCGCAGGCGGUUCGGAAAGAGAGAUGUGAAAUCCCCGGGCUCAACCUGGGAAUGGCAGUGGAUACUGGCAAGCUAGAGUGUGUCAGAGGAUGGUGGAAUUCCCGGUGUAGCGGUGAAAUGCGUAGAGAUCGGGAGGAACAUCAGUGGCGAAGGCGGCCAUCUGGGACAACACUGACGCUGAGGCACGAAAGCGUGGGGAGCAAACAGGAUUAGAUACCCCGGUAGUCCCUGUCUCUUAUAC